CCCUGACCCUCCUCCUCAUUGUGGAAACAACUCAGGCCAAAGGUUCUUACAUUUCAAUGUCCCUGUUGGACAGUUGACCUUGGUCACUGCUAUCAGACUUUUUUGACCCUUUGUUUCCUUUGAUAUCAAAGAAAAAAAUGUCUUUGGUAUUUAAAACCUUAUACAGGGGCUGGGAUGCAGCUUAGUUGGUAGAGUGCUGGCCUAGCAUACUCAAAGUAAUCCUAGUAUUACAGAGGGGGAAAGAUUAAAGGUUAAAUAGGGGGUUUGAGACUUGCCCGGGCUACAUAAAGAUCCAGUUUCAAAAAAUGAAUCUUAUUCCUAUGCUAGAAACAACUAGGGAUGUCUUGAUGUACUGCUGCCAUCAUGGUGGAAGGAAGCCUGGAGGGUAGGGAUGGUGCUAGGAUGUAUGUCUUUGAAGACUGCUGUGGGUGGGCUAUACAACUGUGGCUUUGAAUGUGUCCUCUAGGAGACAAGGGACUCUCUUAGGCCUGAAUCUUAACCCAAGCUGGAAACCCCUGACUGGUGUGUUCCCAGAGGAGAGGACACUGGAAAACAGAUCCUAAUGGAACCUUUGCUGCCAUCAGAAUGCACAGUUCCUGCUCAGUUUGCCCAACUGCUGGCAGCCACUGAGAAAUCCAGUGACUUCUCCCUCCUUUCCCUUCUAGAUCCAGGAAAAUCCUGGCUGGUACCCACCUGGACUGUGACCUCGUGGGAAAGGCAGCAAAUCCACCCUACAGUCCAUGUUUCAUGUGAUUAUCUUGGGAUCUCAUCUGGAACCUAGAACCCACAGUUCCGAAACAAACUGAAGCUGAUCCAGAUUGACUGCGGCAGCAGUAGGGCAGAUUCAGUAAUUUCUCUGUGCGGGUCCUGUUGUUCUGGUUUUAGUUUUUCUGUGGACGUCGAAGCAUUUUCACGGUGAACGCUGACCACCAGAAGACGGUGGAAACAAAGCACGCUGAUGGAUUUCAGGGAAAGAAGCCACUGCUAACAAUUAGCUCUGUCACAGGCUUAGAUUCAUCUUGUCUCCCAGACAAGUACAAGCAGUGUCUUUGGUAACUGGUUUUCGGAAACACAUUGACAGGAGUGAGAAGUCAGAGAAGGCAAGCUGACAGAGGGGGCCCAACAUACCCAUUACUGGAGGGGAGGGAGGGCAGCUGGCAUUAGGGUUGCUAGAGGAUUCCAGGAGACAGCAGAGUAUACACUGGCAGUAUAUGGAACGUAUUUCAGAGUUAUUAUAGACAAAGGGGUAUCUGUCCAUUAACCGUCCAUCUGUCAUUGGUUGAGGGUGGCUUCCUGGGAGAUUAUGUCUCAGGCAUGUCUGGUCCUCCUUAUAUGAGAAUUCAGCAUAUUCUUGUGGCUAUAGAGGGUUUUAUAAAUGUUUUCCAUAAGCAGCCUUGAGGAGGGAGAUGUGGGUAGGAUACUAAUAGCAUCUGCCACAAUUCUUCAAAUUUCCCCAUGUUUGAAUGUUUCAGGCACCAGAUUAAAUGUAUAUUAUUUCAUUUAUUAAUUGAUUAAUAAUCUCCAUUUUCCCAGGCCCUGAAGGUAGGGGGAAGGGAUGUGAAAUAAAGAGUGAUUUGCCUAUGAUCUCACAGUCAGCUAAUGGUAGAGUCAGGAUUUGAACCUAAAAAAUUUCAGGGGCAAAGUACUGGCUCCUCAAAGAGUUUAUAAUCAGUUGAGGGAACAAAAAUAGACUCUAAGUUGUAGGUAUCAAGCCUACCCGUUCCAUGAAGUAUGGGCCAGAGUUCAGCUUAGGAUUCAGCAAUGGUAUUGAGGUGCAGAAAUUCAGUGUAGGUCAAGGAGGAUCAAAGGAGAUGACUCAGUGGGAAAAACGUUUGCUGCACCAAGAGGAUCUGAAUUCAGAUCCCCAACAUCCACCUUGAAGCUAGGGAUUCAUACAUGUAAUGCUGGUGCUGGUGGAGAGGAGGCAGGCAGAUUCUAUGGGCUAGGCAGCCAGGCUAGCUGAAAUUGUAUCUUCCCGUUUCAGUGGGAGAGCCUGUCUCCAAACAUACAGUGGCAAACAAAAGGGAAAGAUCUCCGAUGCUGACCUCUAGUCUCCACACAUUCGUGCGUGGGCAAGCAACCCUCCUCUUGCACGCACCCACGUGAAAUCAGAACUUAUUUUCCUCCUUGAACGUGAUAGCCAGUUGUGUUUGGUCUCACUACUAGUGUAUCCUAGUAAGAAGCUCAAAGAAGAUGUAGCCCAAACCAAGCCUCUAACAUCCUCCCACAAAUGUAAUUUUUCUGUCAGCUCAUUAAUGAUUCCAUCAUUCCACCAUCCAGCAAGAUCCAACACCCAGGAUGACCUUUGGUCUCCUCUUCGACUGCACACUCCAGCUAUCCUGUACCAAAAUCUUGCUGAUCCUAAGCCACAGUAAUGCCUCUUAAUGUUGAUGGGACCUUCUUCCUUUAUGUGGGAAAAAGGGCGCAGUAUGAUAAGAACAUAGGAGAGGGUCAAAAGGCAAAAGCACAACCCAUGUCCUUUACAUGAAUGUCCAUGCUCUUUUCAGGUGACCAGUUAUUUCUGUUCUUGUAAAGAGAAUGAUAGAACUCAUCACAGCUUCUGCCACCUCCCAGGGAGAAGCAAGCUGCGGAGGCCUGACUCUCCGAGAUUGCCCAUUACUGUUAGCCCCGAAUGCUGGAGCUUCCCCCCACCCCACCCACCCCCCAAAAAAGAGGCAGAGCAUCUAGCCUCCUUCCCAGCCAGUCUCUCCUCAAUACAUAGUCUGUGUCCUUGAGCACUUCAAUGAAGCAGCCUGGGAGAAGGGUUCAGAUAAUGUCUGUAUUCUUUCCCAGACACCCUCCUCCCACCCCAACUCUAAAUCCAUUUAUCUCCCCCAUAAAAUGCUUAUUGACAGAAGACUUGAGUGCUCAGACCACGACAACUGAUGACAGGCCUCUCCAAACAGAGCAGUCAUGCCCCCCUUCCCCUCCCCAGCCCGAUCCAAAGCAGCCCGUGUUUCUGCCUCAAUCUCCGAGAUUAGCUCAGGGACCCCACCCCUUCCCACCACCAAAUGCUUUCUUGGGUCACUGAUUUUUUUUUUUUUUCAGAGAGAAAAUGCUUGCAAUGGAAUCAUGAAAUGGCACUGCUCAGACUCAAGAUGGGGUUUAUAAGAUCUUUCAGCCAAAAAGUAAUUUUAUCUGGGCUUUCAGAUAGCCACCACCUCCAUUCAUCCCUCCUUCUUCGUCUGCAAACUUUCUUUACUCUUUAUGCUUGGCUUUUACAGCUCUACUGCUGCUGCUUCCUUUGUUGGUUUACAGGAGUUCAUGCUUACAAGUAUGUGACAAGGACAGUCUGUAAAAAAUAAAAUGGAAGGGACAGGCAGAACCAAGGGUGUACUAGUUCUUGGAGCCCCAGGUGGUUUCAUCAUUUCUCCAAUCUCACUUCUCCUGGGUCAUUUCUGUUCUACUUAGGUCCUGCCUUAGUGAUCUUGGCUGGUAAAAGUUUAUCAUUCAUGGUCUCUGAGAUAAACCGUUACAUGUUGGUCAAUAGAUGGGUGAAUAAAGAUAUGCAAUGGAAAAGUACUCACCUUCUCACAUAUGGAAUCCUGACUGACAUCUGUGACAACCUGGGCCUAUAAGCA